rnacentral:lncRNA from 1 species
GUACGUAGGGUAGGGUGGUAGCCAAUGAACCGCGUGUACACUAUGAACCAUAGUACCUACCGGCCAUACCUAACGUUGCUAGCUCGCGCAAAAAUUAUGUCGAGACUCCCUUGCCACGUCAAGAAGUUUGGUCUAUUCGCCGUGGGUCUGUCGCGAUAUACUCACCUAUGAGCCGCGUCUUAGUCUUCUACUCAAGCAAAAACGACAAAAAAAGCAUGGGGCGAAACACGGUAGGGAGGAAAGCACGUAAAAAAGGGUAUCACACCGCGGAAGCUACACAAAGAGGUAUAGAAAAAACACUUGUCGGGAUUAAGCAUUCUAAAAGCAGCAAAAACUGCAACCUUCUCUAUCCAGUAUUGCGACAGACGAAGUGUUUGUGCGGAGAUAUGUCACAAACAAAGUACCUACAGGAACAAUCCGUCUUGUAGACUAGAGCCCCAUUAUGAUGCAAGUAAAUUUCUUACUGCCCAACAUGAAGACAGCAUAAAGAAAUGUUGAUUGUUACAAUUUGUGAUUUGGACAAUAAAAAAACAUAAUUCUGAAUGUGAUAAAAACACGUCGACUUUAUAAUGCUAAGAGCAUUUUAAUUAAUAUAAAUAUACAAGUACAAAAUGUUUUUUCUUUUUUCCCGGAAAGAGUUUGUGCGUAACUUUUAAGAUGUUCAUAAUUAUUGUUAAAAAUUAAGUUUUAAGGCUGAUUUGUUGGUUCUUAAACUUAUGUAUAACCCGAAACUUAAUAAUU